UGAGAGUGGAAACGAUUGAGGAGGACGGAAAAAUCGGAGGCGACCACAAAACGAAAACCCUAAUUCGAAAAACAAAAACCUAAUUCUAAAACGGCAGAAAUCCAGAAGAGAAGAAGGGAGUUGUAGCAAGAAAAUCAAUAUUUCCAACUGAAAAGCUUCUGUGGGAGUUCGUGGAAAUCACCGCCGAAGGUGAGCUCUGUUU
rnacentral:lncRNA from 1 species